GGGUUCCUCAGCACUGCUGAUCAGCUGAGGGU
rnacentral:misc_RNA from 1 species